rnacentral:rRNA from 1 species
UACGGAGGGUGCAAGCGUUAUCCGGAUUCACUGGGUUUAAAGGGUGCGUAGGCGGGCAGGUAAGUCAGUGGUGAAAUCUCCGGGCUUAACCCGGAAACUGCCGUUGAUACUAUCUGUCUUGAAUGUCGUGGAGGUGAGCGGAAUAUGUCAUGUAGCGGUGAAAUGCUUAGAUAUGACAUAGAACACCAAUUGCGAAGGCAGCUCACUACACGAUGAUUGACGCUGAGGCACGAAAGCGUGGGGAUCAAACAGG